GUGCACCGCUGGGCUCAGGUUGCCCCUCUGGCUGAAAAGAGUUUUUUUUUUUUUCCCCUUUUUUUUUUUAUUGACGUUUGUUGUGCGUGCAGCCGGACUGACCUGACUACAGGAGUGACUGAGAGUAGUCGAACUCACCGCUUGGUUUCAAUUCACGCCUUUAGGCAUAUCUUGCAGUCAUCUUGCAGUUUCUUUGUGGGUCUGUGGAGGGCGGCUCCAGGUGAGCGUUCAGCUGUGGCUAAUGGCUCAUCCGCUGUCCUUGCGUCACCUGGGAGCCCUGAACACUGAGGUACCGUUGGCACAGUUCCAGCAGCUAGUAUCUUUAGCCACCUAACUCUCAUUGUGUGAGCUGAUGUCUUGCCAAUCUGAACUCACUUUUGGCGUUGGAAUCAUGCAUGCCGUUGCUGUUUUUAAAAGGUUUAAUUUGAAUACGAUUCAAAUUUAAUUAGAUUUUGCAACAACGACUGAUCACACUUGUUGUUUUGAUGUAAAUUCUUAAUCCCACUCUUUGAUCUAGUAUGUGUUUUAGUUAUUUUCUUGAAAAAGUUGGUGUUCUCUGUUUUUAAUUGCUGCAAUUUUAAUAUUUCUCAGGCUGCUGUCUUGGCAAGGCGUCCCUUGAAAAAGAGGUCAUUGUAUCUGAACAGGACCGACCUGAUUAAAUAAAGGCUAAUUAAAGAAAAAAAAUGGAUUCUACAUAGUCAAAAAUGUAUGACUUGACACCAAGAUAAUUCAAAUAGGAUAAGUCUCUGCAAUUUUAUUGCGACAUGCAAUAUUUCUGUAUAUUCAGUCUUGAAAAAUAUCGGCCAUCUUGAAUUUUUAGAUGGCUGAUGACUUUUAUCAAGGAGUAUGUGUGCCAAUUUUAAUGCUUGUUUCUGGAGAUGAAGGAUUCUCCUGAAAUUUGCAGUUAUCUGCUCUACUAUCAGCAGAAUAAAAUACAUAUUUUAUGAAAAAAAAAAACAAGAACAAUAUGAUUAUAUUUGUAAACUAGAGGUUCCAAACUUUUAUAUGAUGUAUGACAUGUUGUGAUUGCCAUUGGUGAAAUCGCUACAAUAGCCAUGUCAAUUUUCAGUAAAAAUGAACAGAAAAAUUAGUGGAAAAUAUUGCAUUUCCGAGUAAAGUGUGGUGGGCAAACUGCUCUCCCGGACUAUAAAUAUUUGCACGAGUUUCCAUAGAUUGAAUGUCUAGCUUUGAUGUGCCUACAUAAUAAAUCUUGACCACUUUGAUGAAUGUCUGACUUUUCCUCAAGUGCUACUAACAUGCCUACGUCUUUACUUCAGAGUUGUCUACAUUUACAGGAUGGAUUCCCACAACACUUGGUGCAGACAUUUGCUGUUCUCAGGAGAUGAAUCCUCAUGACUUUGGUGAUCACCAACAUGAGGUGAACUUUGCUGAUGUCACUUAGCUGAGUAUUGUUGUUCACUUAACUCUCAAACAUUUCCAAAUGUUACUGGCUGACGGGCUCAUCAACUGCACUUCAUCUCCUGCUUGUUUGCCGUUCAGGCUGUCUUCAGGUCUGUGUUUACCCAGCCGGCAGAGCGUUCUGUCUACUGUAGGUGGAGAAACACAGAGACUUAAUGAGAACCCUGUGAUUGAUCCUCAUUCAUGCUGCCUGACUCACAAUACCUGCAUGAGCUCGCACAAAGAGAAAGUUACUCAGCAGCUGCUGAUCACGCUCAUGUAUGAGAAGUCAUUUCCACACUACGUAUGAGAGUCUCGUGGUCUGUGAUAUGAAAUUCAUAGAAAUGUAGACGUGAUGAGGUUUUCUUUAUAUAGUAAUUGUGUAUAUAUAUAUGUGUGUGUGUGUGUGUAUGUAUAUAUAUAUGCAUAUGUGUGUAUAUAUAUUAUGUAUGU